rnacentral:tRNA from 1 species
GGGUCGAUCGUCCAGUGGUCCAGGAUGGCGGACUCCAACCCCGCAGACCCCGGUUCGAAUCCGGGUCGGCCUG